rnacentral:rRNA from 1 species
CGGACGGGUGAGUAACGCGUGGAAAACCUGCCGUAUACUGGGGGAUAACACUUAGAAAUAGGUGCUAAUACCGCAUAAGCGCACAGCUUCGCAUGAAGCGGUGUGAAAAACUCUGGUGGUAUACGAUGGUUCCGCGUCUGAUUAGCUAGUUGGUGGGGUAAUGGCCUACCAAGGCAACGAUCAGUAGCCGGCCUGAGAGGGUGAGCGGCCACAUUGGGACUGAGACACGGCCCAAACUCCUACGGGAGGCAGCAG